rnacentral:misc_RNA from 1 species
AAGUCGUAACAAGGUAUCCGUAGGUGAACCUGCGGAUGGAUCAUUAACACUACAAAAAAAAACAAAACCUUGCUUUCCUAAAAACAAAGCAUAACCCCAUAACUUUGCGAACUUGUCAACGGGGAGGGGGAGGAGGAAGCAAUUUCUCCACCUCUCUUCCGUUCGUUUUUCUCCCUUUUUCACCGUUAUUUAUUAAACCCCAAAACAAAAACAACAAACAAAACUUGACUAAGACAAAAAACAAAUGAGAAAACAAAAUAAUACAACUUUUAACGACGGAUAUCUUGGCUCUC